rnacentral:rRNA from 1 species
GAGUUUGAUCCUGGCUCAGGACGAACGCUGGCGGCGUGCCUAACACAUGCAAGUCGAACGGAGAACUCAAAAAGCUUGCUUUGAGAGUUCUUAGUGGCGGACGGGUGAGUAACGCGUGGGCAACCUCCCCCUUAAACCGGGACAACCCUUGGAAACGAGGGCUAAUACCGGAUACACUUUUCUGAGGACAUCCUCGGGAAAGGAAAGGCGGCCUCUGAAGAUGCUGCCGAUAAGGGAUGGACCCGCGUCUGAUUAGCUGGUUGGUGGGGUAAAGGCCUACCAAGGCGACGAUCAGUAGCCGGCCUGGGAGGGUGAACGGCCACACUGGGACUGAGACACGGCCCAGACUCCUACGGGAGGCAGCAGUGGGGAAUCUUCCGCAAUGGACGAAAGUCUGACGGAGCAACGCCGCGUGUAUGACGAAGGCCUUCGGGUUGUAAAGUACUGUCUUUAGGGACGAACGGUAUCUAUGUGAACAAUGUAGGUACAUGACGGUACCUAAGGAGGAAGCCCCGGCUAACUACGUGCCAGCAGCCGCGGUAAUACGUAGGGGGCGAGCGUUGUCCGGAAUCAUUGGGCGUAAAGGGCGCGUAGGCGGAUUUUUAAGUCUGGUGUGAAAACUUGGGGCUCAACCCCAAGCCUGCAUCGGAAACUGGGAAUCUUGAGGACAGGAGAGGAAAGUGGAAUUCCACGUGUAGCGGUGAAAUGCGUAGAGA